rnacentral:misc_RNA from 1 species
UGAAAAUCAACCAUUUCCCGGCUUCUUUUUCUGCGCUCUCCAUUCUUCCGCCAUCUCCCUCUCUCUCUCUCUCUCACUGCGAGUCUCCAGUUCCGAGCCGCAACUCUCCAGUUCCGAGCCGCAACUCGCUAAAGAGCAUAUGACCGUCAUGUUCACGGACUCCGAAAACUCCUCCUAUGCUCACGAUCCUCUCUUUCCUUGGCUACUGUCCAUCAAGAAGGCACUUGAUAAUAAAGCCUUUGGUGGUGAUCUAAAUAAGCUUCUGUUAGACUGUAUUAGGACUUUCAAGCACAAUGCCCAGUACCGAAACGACCCCAGAUUUCUCAAGAUUUGGCUCCUCUACUUGGAAGGUAGUGAUGACUCUGAAAUUGUUUUCAAAGAAAUGGAAGAGAACAAGAUAUGCAGCGACCAUUCUUUGCUUUAUGAACUGUAUGCGGGUCUUCUUGAAGCGAAAGAGAAUUGGCAGCAAGCACAUAUGAUUUAUCGGACUGGCAUUUUAAGGAAAGCCAAACCUCUUGAAAGGUUGAAGGGUGCACAUGCUUUAUUUCUUGAUAGAAUGUCUCACAGGGUAAAUGGUUGUUCAGUUCAAAAGAUCGAUGGUGAUGAAUCAAUUGGGUUGGUAAAAAAUUGUGUUUAUCCAUGGUCCAACUCCACCAUGGAAGAGCUAUUGAAGAAGAUCAACCCUAAAAUCAUAAGAUAUGAUGGAUACCGUCCAUUUCACAAAGCUUACGCUGGGAAAGUGGACUUGUCUUCUCUGGGAAAUGCAUCCAGAAAUAAGAUUGUUAAGAUAGGUGGAAAGCAGUACCAUAUCAAGGGUUGUGCUGGUCAGGGUGGUUUUGCCAAAGUAUUUAAAGCGUUUGUCAACAGUAAUCCUGAUGAUAUUGUUGCACUUAAGAUACAAAAGCCUGCUUUUCCUUGGGAAUUUUACAUGUAUCGGCAACUCGAUCAGCGGAUCUCAACCAAGCAAAGGUCAAGCUUUGGUUUUGCUCAUGGAAUGGAUGUCUAUUCCGACUAUAGCAUACUUGUGUGCGACUACCUAUGCCAUGGGACACUUCAUGAUGUUAUAAAUUCUUAUUUCGUUAUUGGUAAGUCCAUGGAAGAGGUUUUAUGUAUUUAUUACACCAGAGAGAUGCUCUACAUGCUAGAAACUUUACAUGGUGUUGGGAUUAUUCAUGGUGAUUUCAAGCCCGAUAAUCUGCUUGUUCGCUAUUCCAGGUGAAAUUUGUUAACUGUAAUGGAUUGUAACAAUACAUUUGCAACUUGCUGGACACUUAUUCUAGGCAUUAUUGUAACUCAGAGAAACUUGGACGCUUGCAUGUUCCCUACAAUCACUCCUCAAGUGUGAAUCUCUUGGGUUUAUUAGACUUACUUCACCUUGGACGGAAGCCUUCUUCUUAACUCGAGUAUUUAUGGCAUCACCAAGAGCUUAUUACUCCAUCAAACCCACCCAAGUAUGCACUUUUAAGAGCUAUGCUAAAGCAUCACAUGUACCUAAAGCAUCACGUGUACUUAGCGCCUCACUCUAUCAGUUUGCUCUUCUUCAAAAUAGUGACUUCCUGCUUCAUUGGGUCUAUUAAGAGUCUCUCUACUCUUCUAUACACUUGUCAAAGUACCACGGAUAUCCCUAACCACUAUUUCCAUACUUGUCCUUACCAAACCAUCGACUCGGAUACUAUUGAUCAGAGAUCCAAGGAGCUAAGGCUUGUAAAAGAAUAUACUGACACUAUAUCUAACUCAAAAUCUUAAGUUAUUGGGUCUAUGAGUCAUUUACCUAUCAGUAAUAUAUUUUUUCCAUAUGAAAAUUCCACACUUCAUAUUCCCAAUAGAUAGAAGGGUGGUUUGGCUGUUAUGAAAAUGUUAGAAUAGAAGGGUAAUUUCAUUAUUUUUUAAACUUUUAUAGCAAAGUCCUGGGAAUUAGAAAAUUAUAAAAUGGAAAACUAUAUCUCAUUUGUCUUAUAUGAAAUUGGAGUUUUUUUUGUUGAUAUCAUCACUGUUUGUCUAUUAGAAAUUCCUACGCCUCAAGACACCAAUGGAUGAUUUUCUGAUUCAUUUAAGACUUGAUUUUUUGUGUUUAUCCAAGGGUCUUGUCAUUUUAAAGAUGAUUCAAUUAUGCGUCAUCCUCUUUUACAAACGGUGUGGUUUGGCGUAUGGCAUGUUGUGGUAUUGUGACAUUAAUAACCAGACUUUUGGCAGGGAUGACCUUACUGAAGAUGGGUUUGAGGACCAAACUGGCUCUUGGGCUGAUCAGGGCCUGUGCCUUGUCGACUGGGGGAAAGGAAUAGACCUGCAUCUCUUCCCUGACGACGUAGAAUUUGAGGGAGAUUGCCGGACUUCUGGCUUUCGCUGCAUUGAAAUGCAAGAAAAGAAGCCAUGGAGAUUUCAGGUGGACUCAUAUGGCCUUUGUGGCGUUGUUCAUCUGAUGCUGCAUAAUUCUUAUAUGGAGAUUGAGAAGAAGGCAACAUCUAAUGGAGGCUACAUUUAUCGGCCAAAAAAAACCUUUUAAACGGUAUCUCUUACAUCUGUAUACUUGCAGGCAUUUCUUAAUUUUCCCAAGAAUAUCUGUAGUUUGUGCAGACAGUGUAACUGCCCCAUUAAAGUAGCAAUUUACUAUUUUCCAGCUCAUUACAGUUAUUUUCUGCUGUAAAAUUGCCUCAGUUAUUGGAACGUUAAUCUAUGGGAGGAACUCUUUUCACAGCUGCUUAACAAUAGCCAUCACAAUGACAAGAAGUUAUUACAGAACUUGAGGGAACGGUUCCAGGAUUACUUGUGCUCUAAUCGUCAAAUGUUAAAAAAACUAAAAGAUUUACUGGCAAAACAAAGGCUUUCCCUGUGUUCUGCUUAGCAUGUUUUCAACCAUUCCUGCAAACUAUCUUGUAGUUGUCAAAUGUAUAUGCAGUUCACACAUUUAGGUGAAAACUCUCACUUUGAAAUACACAUACAUCUUUGGAUCUUGUUUUCUACUUUAUGGUUGAUUGUUCUAACAUUUUAUUUCCUGCGGAAGCCAGUCCAGUGUAGAAAAAGAGCAUGUUAUUGGAGAACUUGCAAGUUGCAAGCAUGAAACAAGCUAUCUUCAAAGUGUUUGUCCUUUUAUCAGGUGCAGAUAUAUGCUGGAAGUACACAUGUUAACUAUGUUGUAAGCUUGUAUCCAAAUUAUCCGCCAAAAUUUCUUGAUCAGGUGUAAAAUUUGCUUUUCUUCCCCGGCAAAACAUUUAUUGUAUGUGAAGCUGCAGAAAGUUUGUUUUCUAUUUUGUUUUCAUGUUUGCAAUGUAAUGUUAUACCCUUCCUCAUAUUAUUUUCUGUGUGUGUGUGUAUAUAUAUAUUUUGUUUAUUUUGAGUGUAGGACAAGUGACCUAACCAGCCUCUGACCCAAAACUGCUGUUGGGUGUGUAUGUGUAGGUGGGAGAACAGGUGGUGAGAAUUUUGGAUUAAUGGCUGGUUUAAAAGAGGAUCCAUUUCUUGAAACUAACGAUAUAAUAGAAACAAGGGAAGGGGCUGAGAUUAAGGACGCUGUUAUAGACAAGUUGGGAGAGGAGGGGGGUCAAGGAGACAGAGAAAUGGCUCCUCCUGCUGGUAAUUCCAUUCACAGGUCCGGUUCCAGACCCCAGCUGGACCUUAGCAAGGCUGCAAUUCAGGGGAAUUCUGAGGACAGGGAUCCCACAAUUCUGUUGCCUAAUCAAUCUGAUGAUAUAUCCCAUUUAGCUCUUGAUAUUGGAGGAUCUCUAAUCAAGUUGGUUUACUUUUCAAGACAUGAAGAUCGACCAAUAAAUGAUAGGAGGAAGAAGACAGUUAAGGAGAGAUUAGGGGUUUCUAACGGUAAUAGGAGAAGUUACCCCAUCCUUGGCGGAAGGCUUCACUUUGUGAAGUUUGAGACAAGAAAGAUUAAUGAAUGCUUAGACUUUAUUUCUUCCAAGCAGCUUCACCUUGGUGGAAUUGACUCACAUGGUUGGCUUUCUGAGACCCCAGCUAAUUGCAAUGCUGUAAUUAAGGUGGUGGGGCAUACAAGUUUGCAGAACUUUUCAAAGAAAGGCUUGGGGUUAGUCUUGACAAAGAGGAUGAGAUGGAUUGCCUUGUGGCAGGGGCAAAUUUUUUGCUGAAGGCUAUA